UACGUAGGGGGCUAGCGUUGUCCGGAAUUAUUGGGCGUAAAGCGCGUGUAGGCGGUUCGAUAAGUCUGCUGUUAAAGUCGAGGGCUCAACCCUCGAAGGCCGGUGGAUACUGUCGGACUAGAGUACGGAAGAGGCGAGUGGAAUUCCUGGUGUAGCGGUGAAAUGCGCAGAUAUCAGGAGGAACACCAAUUGCGAAGGCAGCUCGCUGGGACGUUACUGACGCUGAGACGCGAAAGCGUGGGGAGCAAACAGG
rnacentral:rRNA from 1 species